GACAGAGGUGCCAAGCGUUAGGCGGAAUCACUGGGCUUAAAGCGUGUGUAGGCGGAAUGGUAAGUACCUUGUGAAAUCCCACGGCUCAACCGUGGAACUGCUUGGUAUACUGCUUUUCUUGAGCCACUUAGGGGCUGUCGGAACAAACGGUGGAGCGGUGAAAUGCGUAGAUAUCGUCUGGAACGCCGAAGGUGAAAACAGCUCGCUGGGGCUGCGCUGACGCUGAGACACGAAAGCCAGGGGAGCGAACGGG
rnacentral:rRNA from 1 species